rnacentral:tRNA from 1 species
GCCGAUGUAGCUCAGUUGGUAGAGCUACUGAUUUGUAAUCAGUAGGUCGGGGGUUCGAGUCCCUCCAUCGGCU